GACGAACGCUGGCGGCGUGCCUAAUACAUGCAAGUUGAGCGAUGAAGAUUGGUGCUUGCACCAAUUUGAAGAGCAGCGAACGGGUGAGUAACGCGUGGGGAAUCUGCCUUUGAGCGGGGGACAACAUUUGGAAACGAAUGCUAAUACCGCAUAACAACUUUAAACAUAAGUUUUAAGUUUGAAAGAUGCAAUUGCAUCACUCAAAGAUGAUCCCGCGUUGUAUUAGCUAGUUGGUGAGGUAAAGGCUCACCAAGGCGAUGAUACAUAGCCGACCUGAGAGGGUGAUCGGCAACAUUGGGACUGAGACACGGCCCAAACUCCUACGGGAGGCAGCAGUAGGGAAUCUUCGGCAAUGGACGAAAGUCUGACCGAGCAACGCCGCGUGAGUGAAGAAGGUUUUCGGAUCGUAAAACUCUGUUGGUAGAGAAGAACGUUGGUGAGAGUGGAAAGCUCAUCAAGUGACGGUAACUACCCAGAAAGGGACGGCUAACUACGUG
rnacentral:rRNA from 1 species